rfam:Escherichia coli str. K-12 substr. MG1655, complete genome.
GGUUAAGCGACUAAGCGUACACGGUGGAUGCCCUGGCAGUCAGAGGCGAUGAAGGACGUGCUAAUCUGCGAUAAGCGUCGGUAAGGUGAUAUGAACCGUUAUAACCGGCGAUUUCCGAAUGGGGAAACCCAGUGUGUUUCGACACACUAUCAUUAACUGAAUCCAUAGGUUAAUGAGGCGAACCGGGGGAACUGAAACAUCUAAGUACCCCGAGGAAAAGAAAUCAACCGAGAUUCCCCCAGUAGCGGCGAGCGAACGGGGAGCAGCCCAGAGCCUGAAUCAGUGUGUGUGUUAGUGGAAGCGUCUGGAAAGGCGCGCGAUACAGGGUGACAGCCCCGUACACAAAAAUGCACAUGCUGUGAGCUCGAUGAGUAGGGCGGGACACGUGGUAUCCUGUCUGAAUAUGGGGGGACCAUCCUCCAAGGCUAAAUACUCCUGACUGACCGAUAGUGAACCAGUACCGUGAGGGAAAGGCGAAAAGAACCCCGGCGAGGGGAGUGAAAAAGAACCUGAAACCGUGUACGUACAAGCAGUGGGAGCACGCUUAGGCGUGUGACUGCGUACCUUUUGUAUAAUGGGUCAGCGACUUAUAUUCUGUAGCAAGGUUAACCGAAUAGGGGAGCCGAAGGGAAACCGAGUCUUAACUGGGCGUUAAGUUGCAGGGUAUAGACCCGAAACCCGGUGAUCUAGCCAUGGGCAGGUUGAAGGUUGGGUAACACUAACUGGAGGACCGAACCGACUAAUGUUGAAAAAUUAGCGGAUGACUUGUGGCUGGGGGUGAAAGGCCAAUCAAACCGGGAGAUAGCUGGUUCUCCCCGAAAGCUAUUUAGGUAGCGCCUCGUGAAUUCAUCUCCGGGGGUAGAGCACUGUUUCGGCAAGGGGGUCAUCCCGACUUACCAACCCGAUGCAAACUGCGAAUACCGGAGAAUGUUAUCACGGGAGACACACGGCGGGUGCUAACGUCCGUCGUGAAGAGGGAAACAACCCAGACCGCCAGCUAAGGUCCCAAAGUCAUGGUUAAGUGGGAAACGAUGUGGGAAGGCCCAGACAGCCAGGAUGUUGGCUUAGAAGCAGCCAUCAUUUAAAGAAAGCGUAAUAGCUCACUGGUCGAGUCGGCCUGCGCGGAAGAUGUAACGGGGCUAAACCAUGCACCGAAGCUGCGGCAGCGACGCUUAUGCGUUGUUGGGUAGGGGAGCGUUCUGUAAGCCUGCGAAGGUGUGCUGUGAGGCAUGCUGGAGGUAUCAGAAGUGCGAAUGCUGACAUAAGUAACGAUAAAGCGGGUGAAAAGCCCGCUCGCCGGAAGACCAAGGGUUCCUGUCCAACGUUAAUCGGGGCAGGGUGAGUCGACCCCUAAGGCGAGGCCGAAAGGCGUAGUCGAUGGGAAACAGGUUAAUAUUCCUGUACUUGGUGUUACUGCGAAGGGGGGACGGAGAAGGCUAUGUUGGCCGGGCGACGGUUGUCCCGGUUUAAGCGUGUAGGCUGGUUUUCCAGGCAAAUCCGGAAAAUCAAGGCUGAGGCGUGAUGACGAGGCACUACGGUGCUGAAGCAACAAAUGCCCUGCUUCCAGGAAAAGCCUCUAAGCAUCAGGUAACAUCAAAUCGUACCCCAAACCGACACAGGUGGUCAGGUAGAGAAUACCAAGGCGCUUGAGAGAACUCGGGUGAAGGAACUAGGCAAAAUGGUGCCGUAACUUCGGGAGAAGGCACGCUGAUAUGUAGGUGAGGUCCCUCGCGGAUGGAGCUGAAAUCAGUCGAAGAUACCAGCUGGCUGCAACUGUUUAUUAAAAACACAGCACUGUGCAAACACGAAAGUGGACGUAUACGGUGUGACGCCUGCCCGGUGCCGGAAGGUUAAUUGAUGGGGUUAGCGCAAGCGAAGCUCUUGAUCGAAGCCCCGGUAAACGGCGGCCGUAACUAUAACGGUCCUAAGGUAGCGAAAUUCCUUGUCGGGUAAGUUCCGACCUGCACGAAUGGCGUAAUGAUGGCCAGGCUGUCUCCACCCGAGACUCAGUGAAAUUGAACUCGCUGUGAAGAUGCAGUGUACCCGCGGCAAGACGGAAAGACCCCGUGAACCUUUACUAUAGCUUGACACUGAACAUUGAGCCUUGAUGUGUAGGAUAGGUGGGAGGCUUUGAAGUGUGGACGCCAGUCUGCAUGGAGCCGACCUUGAAAUACCACCCUUUAAUGUUUGAUGUUCUAACGUUGACCCGUAAUCCGGGUUGCGGACAGUGUCUGGUGGGUAGUUUGACUGGGGCGGUCUCCUCCUAAAGAGUAACGGAGGAGCACGAAGGUUGGCUAAUCCUGGUCGGACAUCAGGAGGUUAGUGCAAUGGCAUAAGCCAGCUUGACUGCGAGCGUGACGGCGCGAGCAGGUGCGAAAGCAGGUCAUAGUGAUCCGGUGGUUCUGAAUGGAAGGGCCAUCGCUCAACGGAUAAAAGGUACUCCGGGGAUAACAGGCUGAUACCGCCCAAGAGUUCAUAUCGACGGCGGUGUUUGGCACCUCGAUGUCGGCUCAUCACAUCCUGGGGCUGAAGUAGGUCCCAAGGGUAUGGCUGUUCGCCAUUUAAAGUGGUACGCGAGCUGGGUUUAGAACGUCGUGAGACAGUUCGGUCCCUAUCUGCCGUGGGCGCUGGAGAACUGAGGGGGGCUGCUCCUAGUACGAGAGGACCGGAGUGGACGCAUCACUGGUGUUCGGGUUGUCAUGCCAAUGGCACUGCCCGGUAGCUAAAUGCGGAAGAGAUAAGUGCUGAAAGCAUCUAAGCACGAAACUUGCCCCGAGAUGAGUUCUCCCUGACCCUUUAAGGGUCCUGAAGGAACGUUGAAGACGACGACGUUGAUAGGCCGGGUGUGUAAGCGCAGCGAUGCGUUGAGCUAACCGGUACUAAUGAACCGUGAGGCUUAACCUU